AAAUCCAAAGUAUAAAUAAAUUGGGAAUCAAGAGGCAAUGCAUCAUUCAUCAUCCACGAACCGCGCCGCUCGGUAUCCCUUUCCUUGGAGCUGUAUUGUUUGUGCAAAGUGCCUGAGUUUGACAGAAUUCCAUUGGCCUUCCGGGGAGUCUGAGAAGUCUGAGGAGUCAGUUAAUUGGAUUGCUCUGGUUGUAAUUGCUCAAAAUCGGUUGAAUCACUUUUCAUUCUAGUUGGAUCAUUUUCCGCAGUAUUGGGCAAACACAUAAAAGUCCUCAUAAAUCCAAUUAAGGUAACUUACACAGCAUUAUGGGGAAACGGACAUUUCGGUGGAAAUUGCAGGGCAAGCAACAGUUGAUGGUAAAUCGAUUACCCGGUGAUAUUCAAUGAGUCCCGAGUGCAUUGAUGAGACAGCAGCCCGUCUGACAGAAGAACUGAGGCUCAAUCUCUGCCAGCCCCAUGGAGUCUCUAACGAGUUCUAAAACAUUUCGCCCAGCUAAACGAAGUUCAACGCACUGAAUAACAAUUGCGGCUGACGUUGCGGAAGACUGGAGCUAAGGCUAACUUGAGACGAGUCGAGACAGCAGGGCACCAACUGAAUUCUAAUGAGGCAGGUGCUUUUGGUCAUAUGCGGCGUAUACUUGAUGCAGGAUGCUCCCGAUUGCCAGUCGGAGAGCCGGUACUGGGCCACUAAUGAGCAGCUAAACAUUUGUCGACAAUCCAAAAGCCAGAUCAGCGCUAAUUAAUCGCUUUUUAAGCUACCCAACCGAAUUUGUCGCGCUAAUAAAUUCGCAUUUGUCAA